GACGAACGCUGGCGGCGUGCUUAACACAUGCAAGUCGAGCGGUAAGGCCCUUUCGGGGGUACACGAGCGGCGAACGGGUGAGUAACACGUGGGUGACCUGCCUUUAGCUCUGGGAUAAGCCUGGGAAACCGGGUCUAAUACCGGAUAUGACUCCGCGGCGCAUGUUGUGGGGUGGAAAGCCUUGUGCGGCUGAGGAUGGGCCCGCGGCCUAUCAGCUUGUUGGUGGGGUGAUGGCCUACCAAGGCGACGACGGGUAGCCGGCCUGAGAGGGCGACCGGCCACACUGGGACUGAGACACGGCCCAGACUCCUACGGGAGGCAGCAGUGGGGAAUCUUGCGCAAUGGGCGAAAGCCUGACGCAGCGACGCCGCGUGAGGGAUGACGGCCUGG
rnacentral:rRNA from 1 species